AAAGAUGGAUGGCUGCCUGGAAUAAAAGUCUACAUUUUCCUUUUCCCCCAGUCUCUUCUGUUUGAAGAAAUAGAAGUAGAAGUGGCAGCUUUCAGGAGACUUCUUAUGAUGUGGCUGGAGUUCUGAUCACCAUCUUGGAACAUGAAGCCAAGCAGCAAACUGUUGGGAUGGAGUCUAGGUUCCUAAAAGUGCAGGAGACCCAGGUUCGAUCCCUGGGUCAGAAAGAUCCCCUGGAGAAAGAAAUAGCAACUCACUUCAGUAUUCUUGCCUGGGGAAGUCCAUGGACAGAGGAACCUGGUGGACCACAGUCCAUGGGGGUCACAAAGAGCCAGACACGACUGAGCAACUAACACAGGAGGUGCUCAGCACACUGCUCACUGACUGACCAGAUCCCUCCAAGUCAACUGAACACGCCUCCACAUUUAUGAACUCCAUCACCUGGCCCCUUUCUAGGCUCCCUUCUCUCCUUCCAAAAUGCACACCACCCACACUGAAUACCCUCCCAGUAGUCAAGUAUAGAUGUGAGAGUUGGACCAUAAAGAAGGCCGAGUACUGAGGAAUUGAUGCUUUCAAGUUGUGGUGCUGGAGACUACUCUUGAGUCCCUUGGACAGCAAGAAACUCAAAUCAGUCAAUCCUAAAGAAAAUCAACACUGCAUAUCCAUUGGAAGGACUCAUGUUGAAGCUCCAAUACUUGGGCCACCUGAUGUGAAGAGCCGACUCAUUGGAAAAGCCUCUGAUGCUGGAAAAGAUUGAGGGCAGGAGGAGAAGGGGACGACAGAGGAUGAGAUGGUUGGAUGGCAUCACCAAGUCCAUGGACAUGAGUUGGAGCAAACUAUGGGAGAUAGUGAAGGACAGGGAAGCCUGGCGUGCUGCAGUCUCCGGGGUGGCAAAGAGUCGGACAGGACUUUUGUUGUUCAGUCAGACUGAGAAGGAAAUGGCAACCCACUCCAGUAUUCUUGCCUGAAGAACCCCAGGGACCGGGGAGCCUGGUGGGCUGCUGUCUAUGGGGUCGCAGAGAGUCGGACACGACUGAUGCGACUUAGCAGCAGCAGCAGCAGCCACCGAAAAACACUCUGUGACCAGUGGCGACACCUAGUGGCCAAAGCGGUGGCAACAGCCAAAGAACCAGGAUUCCUGGUUUUCUCUCCUGGUGCAUACAUAGGUGUUUGCUCUGAGUCUGUGACCCCAUGGACUGUAGCCCGCCAGGCUCCUGCGU
ensembl:lncRNA